rnacentral:snoRNA from 1 species
UGGAGGACAGAGAAGGUAAGGCAGUUAUGUUCCGUGCUGCCCUCUACCGGUUAUUGCCUCCGACAGCAAAGUGAUGCCAGAAACAUUGGCUUUUCUCUUCUUUCUCCAUGGAAGGGAAUGAGCAAUGCUUUCUUUGCAGACA